UUUGUGAGACGAAUCUAAUGAUAU
rnacentral:miRNA from 1 species